UUUGGCUUCUCCCCCGGUCACCCUAUACUGACAC
rnacentral:sRNA from 1 species